AUACGGAGGGUGCGAGCGUUAAUCGGAAUCACUGGGCGUAAAGCGCGCGUAGGCGGCGAUGUAAGUCAGGUGUGAAAGCCCUCGGCUCAACCGGGGAAUUGCACUUGAUACUGCAUUGCUUGAGUAUCGGAGAGGAUGGCGGAAUUCCAGGUGUAGGAGUGAAAUCCGUAGAUAUCUGGAGGAACACCAGUGGCGAAGGCGGCCAUCUGGACGAUCACUGACGCUGAGGUGCGAAAGCGUGGGUAGCAAACAGGAUUAGAUACCCUGGUAGUCCACGCCGUAAACGAUGGAUACUAGGUGUCGGGGGCUAACCCCUUCGGUGCCGCAGUUAACGCGUUAAGUAUCCCGCCUGGGGAGUACGGUCGCAAGGCUGAA
rnacentral:rRNA from 1 species